ACAGCAUAACGAUUGAGUAUCUGUUCUUAUCAGUUUAAUAUCUGAUAUAUGUGGGCCAUUGGCUCACACGAUAUUAACUCAAUUUUUUUAGGGGAAAGGCCUAAUUAGGUAGCUUGCUACCUUGGCCUUUGAGUGUCGCCUUGGUGUUGCAUUGUUACCUUGGCCUGGCACGCCCCAU
rnacentral:snRNA from 1 species